UGGGGAAUUUUGGACAAUGGACGCAAGUCUGAUCCAGCCAUGCCGCGUGCGGGAAGAAGGCCUUCGGGUUGUAAACCGCUUUUGUCAGGGAAGAAACGAGUUUCUCUAAUACAGAGACUUAAUGACGGUACCUGAAGAAUAAGCACCGGCUAACUACGUGCCAGCAGCCGCGGUAAUACGUAGGGUGCGAGCGUUAAUCGGAAUUACUGGGCGUAAAGCGUGCGCAGGCGGUUAUAUAAGACAGAUGUGAAAUCCCCGGGCUCAACCUGGGAACUGCAUUUGUGACUGUAUAGCUAGAGUACGGCAGAGGGGGAUGGAAUUCCGCGUGUAGCGGUGAAAUGCUUAGAUAUUACAUGGAAUACCAAUUGCGAAGGCAGGUUACUACUAAUGGAUUGACGCUGAUGGACGAAAGCGUGGGGAGCGAACA
rnacentral:rRNA from 1 species